CCUACGGGAGGCAGCAGUGGGGAAUAUUGCGCAAUGGGCGAAAGCCUGACGCAGCGACGCCGCGUGAGGGAUGAAGGUCUUCGGAUCGUACACCUCUGUCAGCAGGGAAGAACGGUCCCUGUGCUAAUCAGCAGUGAAUUGACGGUACCCGCAACGGAAGCACAGGCUAACUCCGUGCCAGCAGCCGAGGUAAUACGGAGGGUGCGAGGGUUAAUCGGAAUUACUGGGCGUAAAGCGCUCGUAGGCGGUAUGUCAAGUCAAGGGUGAAAUCCCCGGGCUCAACGUGGUAACUGCCUUUGAAACGGGCAAACUGGAGUGGGUGAAAGGAUAGUGGAAGUCCAGGUGUAGGGGUGAAAGCCGUAGAUAUCUGGAGGAACAUCAGUGGCGAAGGCGACUAUCUGGCCCAUAACUGACGCUGAGGAGCGAAAGCGUGGGUAGCAAACAGGAUUAGAUACCCUGUAGUC
rnacentral:rRNA from 1 species